UACGUAGGUGGCAAGCGUUGUUCGGAAUUAUUGGGCGUAAAGGGCGCGUAGGCGGUUUGCUAAGUCAGUUGUGAAAGCCCGGGGCUCAACCCCGGAGGGUCGGCUGAUACUGGUGGACUAGAGUACGGAAGAGGUAGCUGGAAUUCCCGGUGUAGCGGUGAAAUACGUAGAUAUCGGGAGGAACACCUGAGGCGAAGGCGGGCUACUGGGCCGAUACUGACGCUGAGGAGCGAAAGCGUGGGGAGCGAACAGG
rnacentral:rRNA from 1 species